CUUAAUCAGCCGUCUUGAAUGACUACAUCAUUGCUUAUGUUUGCAGCUGCUGGGAUGGCUGAUGGUCAAGACAGUGAGUGGCUGAGCCCCCUCCCAACAGGCUUUCUUGGUUCUGCCACUCACUGUCUAUUGAGUCGGCCUCAUUCAAUCCAGAGUCUGCAAGCUCUGCAGAACAGGCCUGGCUUCGGGAAAGAACCUGCUGCUGGGCGGGUAAUGGAAGGGGCUGGCUCCUUGGAAUGCAUCAUUCUCAGGUAGGCUGUUUGGUUUGGGCUUGUAGUCCCCUUUGGUUUUACUCAGAUGGCUAGGAUUGAAGCCAACCUUCAACUCCCAUAUCUGGGCCAAUGGACUUCCUCUGAAGUUUCCCCUUGCAGGAGAUCACUGUCUUCUCAUCCCACAAGCACCCCCUGAGCACCUGUUAGGUGCCAGAUGCUCUCCUGAGUGCAAGGGAAGCACAGCGGCUGAACGAAGCCGACAGAGAUCCUGCUCUCUGGAGACUGAUACUGACGGGCCGUGAGGGAACUUUUGGAGGGAAUGCCAUUUUCUGCAUCCUGUGCAGGCCUUACCUCCCAGCAGAAAAAGAAUUGGAUGUAAACAUCGACACGGUGGCUGGCACACGUGCGGAAGUGUUUGGCAGUGCAGCGCACCGAUGUCUGCAACCGCUUUGAGUGCAUCAAGGAAAGACAUGGCUUGGAGCGCCGAUGCACUGUUAGAUAAGGCAUGAAAGCAACGUCUCAAAAUGUUACUGGAUCUGUGAGUUAUUCUUUGUGCAAUUCUCCCAACUUGCCUUGCUUUUGAAGAGUUUCCUGAUAAUGUUGUCAGGAAAACGAAACAAAUGAAGUAGACAUGAAGGCAUAAAAGCU